GGAGAGUGGCGGGUGGCUGGUGCUCCCCGCGGUCUUCAAAACCGUUGGCCGGCGCUGAUGCGUCGGCGGUAGGUUCGAUUCCUUCCCUCUCCGCCA
rnacentral:tRNA from 1 species